GCCCUCCUAGCUCAGUUGGCAGAGCAGCUGACUCUUAAUCAGCGGGUCGUUGGUUCGAGUCCAACGGGGGGCA
rnacentral:tRNA from 1 species